rnacentral:lncRNA from 1 species
GCCUGCAAUUUAUAGUCGCUGUGCCUGGCGCCGCCCGUGCGUCUGUCCUGCCCCCGGGCGGCGGCCGGUCGGCCGGAGCGCGGCUGGCCGUCGCGCGCGCGACCUCUUCGCUACCAGCGCUCGGUGAGGGCGGGCGGCACUCGCUGUGGUGAAGAAUUUUAGUUGAAAUACCGCUGUUGUCUUUGAAAGUGUCGGCCCGUCUGGUCAGCCGUCUGGGGGCGGUGCCGCCACCUCUCUGUCCCGUGGUCGGCCACCGCGAGAGGAGACGGUCCCCGCCACCGGUCCCAUGUCUGCACACCGACCUCUCAUACUCGCAACGCAUUGCGUUGUGUGAUCAGCCGUCUGGGGCGGUGCCGCCACCCCUCUGUGUUCGCUGGACGGCCACCGCGAGAGAGCGCGCCCCCGGUCCUGUGUCGGACCGACCUGUCAACAAACAGACUGGGAACGCUCAUGUGCGGCAGUACGUGCGCCGCCGUUGGUACCGAGACUAGAAGCGUCCAUCUGCCGGUCAAAACUGGACUGCGGCCGACGGGAACUCCAGAUCUCUCACAGCUCGCGGGUUGGUGAACCAGCCUGAUUGGGAAUCUCCGGCGGCCUCACACCUGGACGAAAGAUAAG